AAUUUGUGGCCAAAACGUUUUUAAAAUAGUGUACAAUUUCCCUUUAACUUCAAGAAUGCAUGGGGUUAAUAUACUCUUUCUAUAAGGUUUUUCCCACAUUAUUGAGUACAACUUGGCCAAUUAUAAAAACAUUAAAAAGCUAAUGAAAUCAACAUAUAUUUGAAAAGAAUAUAAUUGAUAUUGCAACCCGGUGUUGGUCAGGCCUUGUCCCAUCAUUGCACUAUAGACUCUGAUGACUUAAUAAUAAUAAUGUACAGUAGAGAAUCUGUUUACAAGUUCAUGCCUGAUGGCCUACUCAUUGAUUAUUAUUACAAUACGUUUUACAUAGAAGAAUAAAUAAACACUUGUCGCUUUAUUAGCUUUGAUUAUAAAUGACUCUGUUGCAUUCCACCGUACAAUAUUAGUUUUAUCUAGGUGUGCCUAAUAAAUUGGCAAGUGGGUUUAAACAUUAAUGCUGUACAUUUCAAAUAAAACUUUUUGUAUAGUUGAAAGCAAAAGUUUUUUUAUUCUUUUUUUAAAGGCAAGAGGUUUAAGUGAAUGAUAUCAGCCAUGGUAAUAUAAAUGACGCAUACAUACGCAUUAACCAACACAGCAUUAGUUCAUCACCUAACUACAAAUAGACAUGUAAUAUACAAAUGUUACACCUGGCGUUGGUAUUAUAUAUUUGGCAGUGUUAGUCCUGCACCUGGACGCCAUCUUGUUCUCCACAAUACUUGUCCUUCCUACUUCUUUCACGCCGCAUCGAUGCCAAGAGUUAAAAUGUGCAGUUUGGUUAAAGAAAAUGUUUGUUUUUUUUGGUACAACAGAAUAAUAUGUGACUUACUCAUCUUAGCAUUUUUAAAAAGCACAUGCAGAACCAUCGCACAUCAGUAACACAACAGAUGACUUGCUAUGAUAUACUGUACUGCUUUGUUCACAUCACAGUUUUCAUCACUUAACUUACAGGGACAGUCUUUUACACCCCGUUGGGAAAAAAAUAUGAAAAAUGCUGGACAUGAUGGACUGUUAAUAUAUUGUUUUUGUUGCAGUUGGUUGAAGCUGAAGUGGAUGCUAAGAUCCAGGAACCAGUUGACACCAACAGAUGAACAGGACUCUCCCCCUCUUGAAGGAAUAUCUCGACACUCAACCCAAAAGGAUGUGAGCUGUCACUGCUGCCAAAGAGUCAAGACACGGCGGCCUUGCAGGCUGGCGGCACUGAUGAGUCACUCUGUGCAACAAAUAAUGUAUACUGCAAGACAUAAUAUACAGUGUCGGUGCUGAGGGCUUGAUAUUCCUUCAAAGAAAACAACACACUGAAUUAGCCUCUGUGCACAAAGCAUCCAGCUCCUAUUGAGGAUGUGACAUGUGGUUUUGAUAGAUGGGAAAAGGUGGAGUGUGUCCUGCACUGACUGGCAAAUGUGACGUGGAGAAUGAUGCAGUGCUUUUGAGCAAGUGGCGAUGGAUUGACGCCAGAAGAAAAAAAAAGGUGUCAGUGGACAUUUUUCCCGUUGAGCUCAACCGUCACCUGUUGAUGAUGCCUUUGAUUUGAGAAUCCUUCUCCAACUGCUGCUGCUUGAGGCGCCGCUCGCUGUCCUCCAGGCGGCACUGAUACUGCUGCAGGAUCUUGCUUGUCUGCUGCUCCUGCGACAGAAGCCGCUGCUCGUACUCCUCCAGCUUGCGAUGAGACAUUUUCAGACGCUCCUUCAAGGAGUGGAUCUCCUCCUCGUACUCCUUUACCUGCGGAGGGAAGCCGCUCUGGAUUAUGAAUGGAAAACAUUAGUGUGGUGUGCAGUCAGUGCCAGCAAGGCUUUCUCUGCUGGUCUAAACACUAUCAGAAGGACUUACCUACAUUUAAUUUAAAAUGGUGUUAAUUUAUUCCCAGCAGUCUAUUAUCUUCAUUUUGUAGAGUGUCGCUUGGUUGCACUGCUUCCAGUUGUGUACGUGUAUGUUAGGUUUUUUAGUCCAAUCAGAUUUCAGCUACUAUGUGUGUUGCUGUGUCAAUGUAAUCUACCCAGGGCCCACAGUUAUGUCAGCAGUCAGCAUCCUGUGAUUGGUUGAGGUCUGAAAGCCAAUUCCCUCACAGACAGUUACUAUUGCGCUUGAAUGCAUCACCACAUGAACAGCGCAGCGCUGUGAUGCCACGUUUGUAAUGCGUUCUGUAAUGCCACGCAUUGUUAUAUUGCUUUUUUGGAUAUUUUUGAAGGUUUGUAUAAUUGUGACGUGGUGGUAUACGAGGUGGAUUGGGUCGCUUAAGUCCGGACUGAAGGCCCAGGUACCAAAUGCACUGCCCGCCACUGCUUUCCACGUAUACACUAUAUAAGGCAGAGGACAGUAAGUUUGCUGACCCUCUCCAAGCGGGAUUCAUCCAUGCUUUUGGAGUACUCCUUGAGUUGACCCUCACGGUCGGGGCGCAGGCUCUCAAUGUCGGCAGAGAGAUGUGGCAUAUUGGACACCCAGGCCACGGUCCGUUCAUUCAAGUUGGACUGAGAACCCUGAAACAACACAAAAAUUCUGUUUUGGAGGUUAUAUUUUUACGUCUUGUUAGCAAGCUUGUCCAAAAACUAGAACCAGAACCAAGGAUUGUCUGGUCUUGGCAGUGGUUAAUGUGUACAAUUCUCAACAAGGUGAAAUAUGGACUGACCUUAUUGACAACCGGCUUGAGCAGAUGCUGCUGUGGAGGCUGCAGCUGCUGAGACUUUUUGUUGCUUUUUGUGGGCGUAUCUGUCGACUCCUCGGCGGCCGUGGACGGGACAUGGUUCUCCUUGGCGGAGCCCGUCUGGAAAGGCAAACCAGGAGCCGGACUGUCCGUCACAGGCAUCUGUGUCUCCUGUUGUUGCGGUUGUGGUUGUUGUUGCGGUUGUUGCUGCUGCUGUUGCGACUGCUGUCGUUGUUUUGGCUGACUGCCACUGAAGUUGGUGUCGGAGGAGUCCAGGAGGAGGUUCCUGCUCUGGGGUCGGGCCUUUGGAGGCGUGGCGGUGGCUGGAGUGUUGAUGGAGCGCUGUGACUUGAGAAGUUGGGACGCAAUGGAGGACUGGCGCGCGGGGUGAACAGUGGUAGGGGGCGUGGCCAAGGAGGCGGGUGUACCUGUGCCAGUGCCUGUCUGAGAUGUGACACCCAUCAUGUGCUGCUGCUGGAGGGACUCCUGAGGACAGAGGAAUUCAGAAAGAUGACAAGCUCCCUUUCAGUGUUCCCUGGUGGUUUAACCAAAGAAGGCUGGAAGUCUGACGUCAUCUGACCCCCUCAGAACCAAGUCAAACCCUGACUUUUGACCUAAAAAAAAUCCCACACACCCCCACACCCCAAAGUCUUCCCAGAAGAGGGACCAACUGUACCUUUUCUUCCAAUAUAACUUUGUGUAGGUGUAAUGGCUAAAUGUGGUCAAAUAAAAAAGGCCAACACAUAGCCAAUAAUUAAUUAAUUAAUCAAGAAAAAUCGUCAUAGCGCCGACUGUGUUAAAAAAAAAAAAAAAAAAAAAGACGCUGGAGAUGUUUGUUCCAUCACAGCCCACGCGGAAGGCCAGAAAUAGCUCAGGACAACAGUACAGUACAUGGCGUUAGCAUUAGAACCACUGCAAUUUACAUCCUGCGAAUGACUAGCCAGAAUAAGAGUAGGAAUCUCACAAGCUAUACAGUAUAUUUGCUUCAUAUGCUUAAGAUUAAGAGCUUCAGUAGCUAGGAGGUAAGACUACAGAUGCUAGCACAGAAGGAUGGAGGUCAAGAAGAAUUUCUACUCUUACAUUUAUUCCUGAAAGUACAGCAUGUACAGCAGCUGGCAAGCUGGCAAUGCAUAAACUUCAUUCUCUAGUGUGCGCCUACACAUUCUAAUGAGUUCCAACACUAGAUACAACAUGAAUAAUGCUCAGUUUUGACUGGCAUUGUUGGAGAGGUAUUAAUUUGACAGUUGUUAUUGGGCUUCUUGUUUGCAGAGGUGUACAACCGCAUAGUAUAAUAAGGUAAUCAUAUUAACGGUACUCACUACAAACCACGAUAGUAAACAUGUUCAAACGUGUCAAUCAAAUCAUAGUCUUUAAUAAACAUAAUAUUUAGUCUGGAUCAUAAUGGAUUUACUGUUUAUCAAAAAUGGAAUGUAUUAUUAUCUUGAGUGAGGCACAAUUUUCACACUAGAUCCCAUUAAUGUGCAGAUGUACCAGAAUGAAUAUACAGUAUUUCAUGUCUGAAACUAACAACCACUUUAGUUUGUGCAUGCAUAUUCAAAGUGAAGCGAUUCCUACCUGCACCUGCAGUGACAGCUGAUGCCAGACAAAGUCAUUGUUCUGGUUCUGCCGGCUGAAGUCGUCACUGUAGCUGUGUGAGUGGACGAUGCUGGGCUGCACCAGGCUGUUCUGAGAGCGCAGGGCCGACAAGUCCUCGCUGCGGGAGAAAGCGUUGUUGCCGAACGCCGGCACAUAGUCGUGGUGGCCAUUCUCUGGCUCCGGGGCAAGGAGGAGCGGUGGGGGAGGAGGCUGCGCCGGUGAGUUCUGGGCCGCCAGAUGGAAGAGAGGGUUCUGGAAAGACAGGGGGUAGUGCAUGGCGGCUGCCGCCUGUUGCUGCUGCUGGGAGAUGGAUUCAGUGGGACCGCCAAUGUGGCCCAUCUGGCUCAGCCUCAAGCCGGACCCUGCCGAGCCACUGGGAAGGUGCCCACUCAUGCGAAGAGGGCCGCCCAGGUUGCCGAAGCUGUGGCCCAGGCCGGCAAUGGAGGCCUGGGAGGAGGUGAGCAUGUCUCCCACAGAGUUCAGGUUGGAAAUGCUGUUCAUGCGUGAGUCUUGAAGGUCCAUCAUGGACACACUCUUGUUAACACUGUGUACCUGAGUCCAAGAACAACAGAGAACAAUAUCAUCAGUGACGUGUACGCAGUAAAAUAUUACUAUUUUUAAAAUAUUCAAUGCUUUGUAUUUUUAAAAAAAUGCAGAAUUUGCACAUUUCCCGAUCACAUACAGGGCAGAAACCAGAAGUGAAGCAGUGAUGAGUCGCACUUCAUCUCUGAAUGAACAAUCCUUCACAAACUGGGCUGUGUGGUUCUUUGCCGUUUCUGUUUUUCAUUGAGUCGCCAUUUUGAUGUUUGCAGAAAGAUUUAUUGUACACCAAGACUUUCUACAGCCAGUGUAAUGUCUUUAAUGGAAGUGUGAUUCUUGUAAAUCAUGCAAUAAACUGCAGAGAAACGUCAUAAGAUGAUGCAGACAGUACUCCGCUGUACCCUCUGUAUGAAGGGGGCGUACAUGAAAUCUCAAGGAGUCAGACAUGAACCUCACCACACAUCUUUGAAUAUCAUCAUUAAAAUAUAUAUCAAUAAGUAUUCACACAUUCAUUUAAAGGCCUUACCUUUGGGUCAGGUUCGGUGAUGUCAGAGCUGCUUGUGCAGUAUGCCGGGCUGGAUCGGGCCAGUGGUGGCCGUGUGACGUAGAACACUUCCCUGGAUGAGCGAAGGUCUCGUUCUGCCUGACGCCUCAUGUUGAGGUUGGAUGAGAGGGACUCUACGGCUGACAUGCCAGUGGCGGGCGACGGCAAGCGGGAGAUGUCUAUCGAACUGGAGACAUGACACAACUGUUAAGUGGUGAAUACAAAGUUCCUGUCCUUUCUCCGCUUGUGUGGUGCAGGAGAUGAUGCCAAAGAGUUAGCAUUUUUAAAUGAUUUUAUUGGGGUUAGGAGCUCAAAUGAUUAAGCGCUACAGACUGCCAGAAUCCAAAAACGUCUGCUGAUUUACAAUCCACAUUUUUAAAUAAAAUUGUGUACAUUGGGCAUUCUAGUACUAUAAAAAUUAGCAGGGGUAUUUUAUGUACCCUACUUUCAGUGAUUCCCCACCAGUGUUGUCAUACACAAACGCCACUAGAAUGCUUUAUGAAGAUGAGUGCGGGGGGGUGGGGAGGCGGCAUCGCUAUUACAGCUGUUAUUGCUCUUACGUUAAGAGUUCUCAUCUAAAAUGUUGGCUGUAAGGCGAGAGUGAAUGUCUCUUGAUAAUGGCAGAGUGCUGAAAGAAAGUAUGAGGUGGAGAAAGGAGGUUUGAGUAAGAGGGUGUGGGAACAGAUGGUGCUGGCAAUUACCAAUUGAUCAAAUACUUACAAAGCCUUCAGAGAUAAAUUAGGUAACAUUAGCGGGGCUCAGAAAUAAGCUGGCAUUGUGAUUUGAGCCACUGAAUCCCCAUUCUGUGAGUAUUCUUGGUCUUGAUGUGCAUACUACUGUUAAUUACACCCAUGUGACGCUGCAGUGUCAGCCCGCGUUUCCAUUAGAAUUAUCCGUCACGGCGCAGCCUCCCCGAGGACAUAAUAAUCUAUUUUUACACGUGAUGAGGAGGAGGGGAAACCUUACCUGUUUAAGUCGCGCAUCAUCAGGCUCUGGAAGUCAGAAGACAUGAGGCGAUUGAAUGUGGGCCGAGAGAAGAGUCUGUCCUUGGGCCGCUCGGGCUGGUGAUUGGUGGUGGUGUGCAGCUGAGGGUUCCUCAGGGCCACGCUGAUGUCAUUCAGCAGUCGAGGCAAUGGCCCUAGUUUGAGAAUAGCGUCCUGCAGCAGAGGUUGGAAAUGUGACGGCAGUGAAGAUUGUUGUGCGCUUUAAUGGGUUUUCGCAACCUUUUCUUGGGGGUCGCUGUUAUGGUCAAAUUGAGCAUCUUUGUGAGUAAUACAAAAAGAUGCUGCCAGUCUUAGCCAUACAAUGUAUGAAGUGAACAGAAAAUAUGGACAGUGGAGCCUGACAUCCCUCGGAUUGGCUAACUCUCGACAUAAGCAGUUUUCAACAUAAACUGAAAAUUGCUUGCAUAUUUGCUUGACUUUUGACUGAUACAUAAGUAGAAUUGGCAAUAAUCAAGGAUUUUUAAACCUACGGCAGUUUGGUGACAUUGUUCUCCUCUAUUUGUGCAACAUUUUGUUAGUUGCUGAAAGGUGAAUGAAAGAAUGGCUGAGAAUCCUACUGGAAAAUAAGAAAGGACGUUUGGUCCUAUGUUGAAGCUUCCAAGAUAAGUGGCAGUUCCUGUCCUACUGCCACUCCAACCCUUUGUUUGUUUUGCAAAAAUACGUGCAAUAAUGAAAAAGAUUGUGACGUUCUGCAGGACAGGAGCGAGCGUCUCCUGUCCUGCGCUCGUAUUUUGGCGGGCUGUGCCUUCUCCGGGGAGGAAGAGGCAGCCGCUUCACGCCUGGUGGCCGCGCAGCUGCGGUCAAUUAACAUUUGUGGCGGUUAAAAGGCCAGCGCCGUCGAAUGUGCGGCGCUGGUUCAUUGUUGAUAUUGUUGAUAUUCCUCUCUGAGCUGUUACCUAGAUUUACCUACCUGUUAAUACAGAGUGUUUUCCCCUCUGUCUCUUUUGGUUUUGCUCCCGUCUUUUUGUGAAUACUUGCACCUGUUUCAUUAAAGAUUCCUUA